GGUCUUAUGGUCUAGUGGUAUGAUUCUCGCUUAGGGUUUUGAACGAUACUCCAUCGUUUCCUGAGCACAAAAUGCGAGAGGCCCCGCGUUCGAAUCGCGGUAAGACCC